UUCUGUAACGAACGUUUCUUUUUGUCUGCUUAUGCUGAUGAUGUAACCGUUUUUGUUAAUGGCAGUGAUAAUUUGAAUGUGUUACAAACUAUUGUUAAGGAUUUUAAUUUUCUUUCUUCUGCUGAAGUGAACUGGGGGAAGAGCGAAGCUAUUUGGGUUGGAGAGUGGGAAAAAAGGUGCACUGGUUUGUCAGGUGGGAUGGUUUGGAAAAAGGAAGGGUUUAAAUAUCUUGGUGUUUAUUUGGGUGACGAUGUUUUUGUUCAAAAGAACUGGGAAGGGGUUUUGGAAAAGGUUAAGUUUCGUUUGGGGAAAUGGAAGUGGCUGCUCCCUCAACUAUCAUAUAGGGGGCGCACACUUAUAAUUAACAACCUUGUGGCAUCAGCCUUAUGGCACAAAUUUGCAUGUAUGGAACCCCCUGUUGGACUUAUUGAGAGUAUUCAGAGGGAAGUGGUAAAUUUCUUUUGGGAUAAACUACACUGGGUCCCUCAAGUCAUCCUUUUCCUAUCAAAGGAGGAUGGAGGACAAGGACUUAUUAAUCUUGCUUGCAGGAGGGACACUUUUCGGUUGCAGUUCAUCCAGCGACUGCUCUCUGCUUCAAGUACUCUGGCCUGGAGACCACUGGCUCUUGGCAUUCUGCGUGAAGUCAGUAACCUGGGCCUGGACAUUGCUCUUUUUCAAAUGGACACAAAGCAACUUGCGCUUGAUGGACUGUCUCCUUUCUACAAGAGCCUUUUUAGGGCUUGGGGGCUUUUCAAUCAUGAGUGGGCAGGAGGACUAUCUUCUGUGCACUGGUUACUUGAAGAACCUGUUGUUAUGGGGUCACGAUUUGAUGUGUCAUGUAACUUUGCUGGUCUAAAAACUCUGCUCUGUGAGAAAGGAGUCUUGCAAUUACGCCAUGUUGUUAAUACAGCAGGUUGUAAUUUACAGAAUGUCCAGGCGACAGCCUCUUUCUUAGGAAUAAGGUCUCAGAGAUAUGUGAAACGGUUUUUGGAUAAACUAAGUGCGGUGUUAAGUUACCAGGAGAAAAGUCUCCUGGAAGACUAUACUAAAGGUAACAUUCUAUGUAAUACUAGUGAUGGUCUUCCGAAUAUGAAACUUUCACCAUCACUUUCAGAAUGUGGUCACACUAGCCCUCUGCUAGUGCUUGGGGACUGUGAUCGGAUGCAUUUAGAUUCAGUCACUGGGAAGGUUGUAUACAAGAAUCUUGUGAAAGUGGCCAAUAGGGCUACUCUGAAAGGUAGAACGGAUACUGUGUGGAGAGACAAGUUAGGUAUUGAUGACAAAACCAAGCCUGUGUGGAGAGUUUUUUAUAAGUCUCCAUUGACAAAGAGAACUGGUGAUCUUCAAUGGAGGAUCUUGCAUGGUGCCAUUGCUGUGAAUGCCAUAGUGUCUGUGAUGAACCCAACAAUAUGUGAUACUUGUCCAUUCUGUACAGAGAGAGAGACGAUUUAUCAUUGCUUUAUGGAGUGUAAUAGGCUUAGUUCAUUGUUUUGCUUGCUAAGUCAUUUGUUAUUUUCUUUUGGAAUUGUGUUUACCAAACAAGGGUUUAUACUUGGUUUUUUCUACAAUCAGAAACACAGAACAAAAUGUGAGCUUAUUCAUUUUAUUGUUGGUCAGGCCAAGCUUGCUAUUUAUAUGAGCCGAAAAAAUAAAGUCCAGCAGAACAUGGGAGAUGAUGUUAUAGCUGUUUUCAAGAACUUAAUAAAGUCCAGAAUUACUAUUGAUUUUCAUUUUUAUAAGCUAACAAGGGCAAUUGAGUCUUUCACAGACAGAUGGUGUACGGAUGGUGCCCUGUGCUCUGUAACAAAUAAUGAACUUUCUUUUGCUCGAUGUUUGAAUAACUGAUGUACUUGAUGUACUGAUGUACGGUGCUCUCAGUUGUUGUACAAUAAAGUUUGUUUUAAAAUUCAAAAAAAUUCUCUCUCUCUCUCUCUCUCUCUCUCGUCGAGAUUUAGUUUCUAUCUGUGCUUUUUCUUCAGCUCUGUCGUCGGGCUGACGGCAGGCUUCGCUAACCUUUGGAGUAUUCACAGGCCUCUUUCUGUCAGCGAUGAUUU
rnacentral:lncRNA from 1 species